GUCGAACGAUGAACCACUUCGGUGGGGAUUAGUGGCGAACGGGUGAGUAACACGUGGGCAAUCUGCCCUUCACUCUGGGACAAGCCCUGGAAACGGGGUCUAAUACCGGAUACUGACCCUUGCAGGCAUCUGCGAGGUUCGAAAGCUCCGGCGGUGAAGGAUGAGCCCGCGGCCUAUCAGCUUGUUGGUGAGGUAAUGGCUCACCAAGGCGACGACGGGUAGCCGGCCUGAGAGGGCGACCGGCCACACUGGGACUGAGACACGGCCCAGACUCCUACGGGAGGCAGCAGUGGGGAAUAUUGCACAAUGGGCGAAAGCCUGAUGCAGCGACGCCGCGUGAGGGAUGACGGCCUUCGGGUUGUAAACCUCUUUCAGCAGGGAAGAAGCGAAAGUGACGGUACCUGCAGAAGAAGCGCCGGCUAACUACGUGCCAGCAGCCGCGGUAAUACGUAGGGCGCAAGCGUUGUCCGGAAUUAUUGGGCGUAAAGAGCUCGUAGGCGGCUUGUCACGUCGGUUGUGAAAGCCCGGGGCUUAACCCCGGGUCUGCAGUCGAUACGGGCAGGCUAGAGUUCGGUAGGGGAGAUCGGAAUUCCUGGUGUAGCGGUGAAAUGCGCAGAUAUCA
rnacentral:rRNA from 1 species